rnacentral:lncRNA from 1 species
AAUGUCUUCACUUUUGUUUUUUUCAUUUUCUUCCUCAACAGACAUUUAUGCAGUGUGUGAUUCUUUCUAAAACAACUCCCUGGAAGAGAGGACAUUUAAUUCAACAAUUUAUUGGCCACCUACUGUGCACCAGGCAGUGAACUUGGAACUGGGGCUACUGGGUUACAGCAGUGACCAAGACAGAGGUCCCUGUUCUUAAGGAGCAAGUGAGGGCAACAGAAAAGAGCAGUCCGCUGUCGUGCGAGGGCACUCAAGCAGCCCUGUGGAAAGCUCUACGUGGUGAGAAACUGAAGCCUCCUGCCAACACCAACAAGCAACUGAGACCUACUUCCAACAGCCAUCUGAGUGAUCCAUCCUGGAAUCAGAUCCUCCAGCCCCAGUCAAGUCUUCAGAUGACUGCAGCCCUGAGCAGCAUCUCAUCUGCAACCUCGUGAAUGACGCUGAGCCAGAACCAUGCAACUAAACUCUGCCUGGAUUCAUGACCUACAGAAACUGAGAUGGUAGCUGUUUGCUUUGUUAAGCCUCUAAGUCUGGAAAGAGUGUAUUAAGCAGUAGUAGACAAUGAAGAAAAGAUUAUUAUUCAGCUGUUGAAUUGGAAGAGGAGGGGAAGAAAAAAUUUUCAGAUCACAAAAUAUUCAUUGUGUAAAACUUCAAAAAUUCUGAAAUUUAAGGAAAAAAUAUCAUUUGUUGGGAAUUUGUUGGGA